rnacentral:rRNA from 1 species
UACGUAGGGUGCAAGCGUUAAUCGGAAUUACUGGGCGUAAAGCGUGCGCAGGCGGUUAUAUAAGACAGAUGUGAAAUCCCCGGGCUCAACCUGGGAACUGCAUUUGUGACUGCAAGGCUAGAGUACGGCAGAGGGGGAUGGAAUUCCGCGUGUAGCAGUGAAAUGCGUAGAUAUGCGGAGGAACACCGAUGGCGAAGGCAAUCCCCUGGGCCUGCACUGACGCUCAUGCACGAAAGCGUGGGGAGCAAACAGG